rnacentral:lncRNA from 1 species
GGAAUCCUCCUGCUUCAACGCCCCCCAGGUAGCUGGGAAUAUCAACUGGCUCCACUGCACCCAGCUCUAACACUCAUUAACUUCAAUGUUCUUUUUUCUGGAUAAGACCAGGCCAAAGUCAGCUAGUUUGCAUAAAACUAAAUGGAAUAGAAUGUCCAGAAGUAGAAAUUUUGCUACUAGUUAUACAACCUCACAUAUAACUCUCACCAUUUUUUUUUUUUUUUUGUACUGGAUAGAACCCAGGGUACUUUACCACUGGGCUACAUCCACAGUCCUUUUUUUUAUCUAUUUUGAGACAGGGUCUUGCUAAGUUGCUUAGGGACUUGCAAAGUUGCUAAGGCUGGCUUUGAACUCUGGAUCCUCCCUCAGCCUCCUAAACUGCUAGGAUUACAGGCAUGUGCCACCACACUUGGUGCCAUCCCCUUCUUUUUUUUUUUUUUUUUUGGUACUGAGGAUUAAACUCAGGGGCACUCGACCACUGAGCCACAUCCCCAGCCCUUUUUCAUAUUUUAUUCAAAGAUAGGGUCUCACUGAGUUGCUUAGUGCCUCGCUGUUGCUGAGGCUGACUUUGAACUCAAGAUCCUCCUGCCUCAGCCUCCAGAGCCACUGGGAUUACAGGUAUGUGCCACUAUGCCCAGCACCAUCCCCUUCUUUUUUCCUUGGUCAGUUACAUCUCUCCCACCAUCAGGUUCCUUUGAGCCCCAGGUCUGGAUACUGCAUCUGCCCUGUGUCCUUCUCUGGUAUUCCAUAUUUGUUUCCAUUGGAGCACUUCUCACAUUAUUAUUUAAUUCUCUGUUUAAUCAUUUGUCUUUUCCAAUAGGCUAUGGAUGCCAUAAGGAAAGGAACUAUAAAUAUUUUGUGAUUGUAUUCCUAGCGCAUACCCAAUGCCUGGCCUAUAGUAGAUGCUAAAAGUAAAUUUAUUGAAUGUAAUUUUAAAAAAACUGAAAAUAAACUCUGUAGGAUAUGAAACAAUGCAUGUCCAAGAACAGGAGAAUGACCUAAGGGUCCUGUAUCUGAGAAUUAGGCAAAAUUGGACAAGCUGAAGAGAUGCUACUCCUAAAAUAGAGUAUACUGCUUGGCGAGCAGUGUAUGG